GACGAACGCUGGCGGCGUGCUUAACACAUGCAAGUCGAGCGGAAAGGCCACUUCGGUGGUACUCGAGCGGCGAACGGGUGAGUAACACGUGAGUAAUCUGCCCCUGGCUUCGGGAUAGCCACCGGAAACGGUGAUUAAUACCGGAUAUGACAUUCCCUCGCAUGGGGGUGUGUGGAAAGUUUUUCGGCCAGGGAUGUGCUCGCGGCCUAUCAGCUUGAUGGUGAGGUAAUGGCUCACCAUGGCUUCGACGGGUAGCCGGCCUGAGAGGGUGACCGGCCACACUGGGACUGAGACACGGCCCAGACUCCUACGGGAGGCAGCAGUGGGGAAUAUUGGACAAUGGGCGGAAGCCUGAUCCAGCAACGCCGCGUGAGGGAUGACGGCCUUCGGGUUGUAAACCUCUUUCAGUACCGACGAAGCGAAAGUGACGGUAGGUACAGAAGAAGCACCGGCCAACUACGUGCCAGCAGCCGCCGUAACAC
rnacentral:rRNA from 1 species